CACGAGGGUCUCACUGUCUUAAGGAAAUUUCCAGUGAAAUUGAAUUUGUAGUGAAGAUGCUACAUCCAAAUUGUUAGACAAGAAGUCCCCAUGGAACUUUACUGGAAACUUAUGUGGCUUAAAUUAAUUUAUUUCUUACAAAUAAAUAGUUUUUAAAUGUGGUGUUAACCUCUCGGAUUAACGAGGGUUAGAAAAGCUCACUCUUUUAUUUUAAGAAAGCCAACUCAAAAUUUUAUGUCUUUGGGAUUAGAUAAGUGGGACAGUUUGGUUGGGGCGACCGCCUUUAAAAAAGUAACGAAGGCGGGCUUAAGAUAUAUUUUUAGUUAUGUCUGACUGCCAAGGGGGAAUCCUGAGCAGGCACUUACUUUUUAGGUGGGUUUAAGUGACCCGUUAAUUUAGGGUGAAAUAGUUAACGAUAAGCA
rnacentral:rRNA from 3 species